AUGAACGCUGGCGGCGUGCUUUACACAUGCAAGUCGAGCGAGGCGGGUAGCAAUACCCAGUCGAGCGGCGAACGGGUGAGUAACGCGUGGAUAACCUGCCCAGAGGUGGGGGAUAACCCGGGGAAACUCGGGCUAAUACCGCAUGAUACCGAGAGGUCAAAGACGGCUCGCAAGGGCUGUCGCCAUUGGAGGGGUCCGCGUCCGAUUAGCUAGUUGGUAGGGUAAUGGCCUACCAAGGCGACGAUCGGUAGCCGGCCUGAGAGGGUGAUCGGCCACACUGGAACUGAGACACGGUCCAGACUCCUACGGGAGGCAGCAGUGGGGAAUUUUGCGCAAUGGGCUAACGCCUGACGCAGCAACGCCGCGUGGAGGAUGAAGGUCUUUGGAUUGUAAACUCCUGUCAGCAGGGAAAAAGCGAAUCGGCCUAACACGCCGGUGAGUUGAUUGUACCUGCAGAGGAAGCCCCGGCUAACUCUGUGCCAGCAGCCGCGGUAAUACGGGGGGAGCAAGCGUUGUUCGGAUUUACUGGGCGUAAAGGGCGCGUAGGCGGCCAGCGCAAGUCAGUUGUGAAAUCUCCGGGCUUAACUCGGAACGGUCAACUGAUACUGCGCGGCUAGAGUGCAGAAGGGGCAACUGGAAUUCUCGGUGUAGCGGUGAAAUGCGUAGAUAUCGAGAGGAACACCUGCGGCGAAGGCGGGUUGCUGGGUUGACACUGACGCUGAGUGCGCGAAAGCCAGGGGAGCGAACGGGAUUAGAUACCCCGGUAGUCCUGGCCUUAAACGAUGGAUGCUUGGUGUCUGGAGUUUUAUAGUCUCCGGGUGCCGUAGCUAACGCGUUAAGCAUCCCGCCUGGGGAGUACGGUCGCAAGACUGAAACUCAAAGGAAUUGACGGGGACCCGCACAAGCGGUGGAGCAUGUGGUUUAAUUCGACGCAACGCGAAGAACCUUACCUGGGCUCGAACGGCUUCGGCAACCCGGUGGAAACAUCGGGCCUCCCGCAAGGGACCGGAGUCGAGGUGCUGCAUGGCUGUCGUCAGCUCGUGUCGUGAGAUGUUGGGUUAAGUCCCGCAACGAGCGCAACCCUUGUCCUGUUUUGGCAUGCGGAUCGAAAGGUCCGCGCAACUAUCAGGAGACCGCCAGCGAUAAGUUGGAGGAAGGUGGGGAUGACGUCAAGUCAUCAUGGCCUUUAUGUCCAGGGCUACACACGUGCUACAAUGGGCGGUACAAAGCGCAGCGAACCCGCGAGGGGGAGCUAAUCGCAAAAAACCGUCCUCAGUUCGGAUCGCAGGCUGCAACUCGCCUGCGUGAAGCUGGAAUCGCUAGUAAUGGCAUAUCAGAACGAUGCCGUGAAUACGUUCCCGGGCCUUGUACACACCGCCCGUCACAUCACGAAAGUGGAUUGUACUAGAAGUCUGCACGCCGACCGCAAGGGGGCAGCGGCCCAAGGUAUGAUUCAUGAUUGGGGUG
rnacentral:rRNA from 1 species